rnacentral:rRNA from 1 species
CCUACGGGUGGCAGCAGUCGAGAAUCAUUCACAAUGGGGGAAACCCUGAUGGUGCGACGCCGCGUGGGGGAAUGAAGGUCUUCGGAUUGUAAACCCCUGUCAUGUGGGAGCAAAUUAAAAAGAUAGUACCACAAGAGGAAGAGACGGCUAACUCUGUGCCAGCAGCCGCGGUAAUACAGAGGUCUCAAGCGUUGUUCGGAAUCACUGGGCGUAAAGCGUGCGUAGGCUGUUUCGUAAGUCGUGUGUGAAAGGCGCGGGCUCAACCCGCGGACGGCACAUGAUACUGCGAGACUAGAGUAAUGGAGGGGGAACCGGAAUUCUCGGUGUAGCAGUGAAAUGCGUAGAUAUCGAGAGGAACACUCGUGGCGAAGGCGGGUUCCUGGACAUUAACUGACGCUGAGGCACGAAGGCCAGGGGAGCGAGAGGGAUUAGAUACCCCGGUAGUC